CCUUCCUCCGCUGCUCAGAGCCCAGAAGCCUCCUCCGGCGGCGGCAGUGUCGGCGGGGAUGAGCACGAGGAACUCCGUCGUGACGGCGCACAAGCCCGCCAGCGCCAGCCACUCCCGCGUCGGCAGCUUCACCAGCUCAGCCUCAUCGUCGCGGUGGUGGUGAAGCAAGAGACGAUCUGGUGGUAAACAACAACCAGUUUGUUGAUGAGUGAUUAUACCAAUCCAGCCAUCUUUUCAUUGAGUUUACUGUCAGAAAAUGCAUACAUCUCUGCAGUUAUUUCACAGAUAAAGCAAUUCAUCAUGAUCUGUACAGUUCAUGUCUACACUCUGAGUAGACAUGAUCUGCAGAGGCAUUUGGUUGAGUUGGUGACAGUCUGGCAGAUACACAUGAUCUGCACAGGCAUUUGGUUGACCCUGCAAAUCUAACCAUUUCUUACUGUUGUUGCCAUGUUGGUGUUUGUGCUGAAAGGAUCAUGAAGUGUCCGUGCCUUCGGUACAGGUCUUACAUGGGCCGCAAUUUAUCGAGGUCCGUACAUCUAUGAUGCUCGAAUUAAUGGGCACCAUUUGUCUAUGCGCAACCAGAUGAGCAUACCUAGGGUCCAGAGAUCGCAUCGAUUCUGUGCUGCUGAUCGAGAUUUGAACCAAUGCUAAUUUUUAAAGGCUCUGUGUCUGGCUUUGUGAAUCCUAUGUAGGCAGAGGUAUCUGAGGUCAUUGUGUUGAUGCAAUAAUCUGGAACCGAUAGUUUGUUUGGAUGGAGCACUGUGCAAUACAUACAUUUGUGUCAGAGGAAGAUGGAAAUGUAAAUUUUCUUUUUAAUGCACCA